rnacentral:lncRNA from 1 species
CCUUUUGGUUUUUCCUCCGAUGCCUUCAUUCAGCAGAGAUUUCCCGACAACAGAAUAGUUUCCUGCAAGUACACGUUUUGGAACUUCAUCCCCAAGAACAUGUUCGAGCAGUUCCGGCGAGUCGCCAACUUUUACUUCCUCAUCAUUUUCCUGGUUCAGUUGAUUAUCGACACACCCACAAGUCCGGUCACGAGCGGUCUGCCUCUGUUCUUUGUCAUCACAGUCACAGCCAUUAAACAGGGGUACGAGGACUGGCUGAGGCACAAAGCGGACAAAGCUGUCAACCAGUGUCUGGUCACCGUGGUCCAGCGCGGGAAGAAGAUCAGCAAAGAGAGCUGCAGACUCACGGUUGGAGAUGUGGUCUAUGUGAAGGAAGACGAGACUUUUCCGUGCGACCUCAUCCUCCUCUCUUCAUCUCGAGAUGAUGGAACGUGCUACGUUACCACAGCCAGCUUGGAUGGAGAGAGCAGCCACAAGACCUAUUACGCCGUCCAGGACACCAAAGCCUUCACCACCGAGGAGGAGGUGGACUCCAUCCACGCCACCAUCGAAUGUGAACAACCGCAGCCGGACCUGUACAAAUUUGUCGGCCGCAUCAACAUCUAUACGGACAACGAUUGUUCGGUCCCUCACAGGCCGCUGGGGUCGGAGAACGUCCUGCUCCGAGGAGCCACGCUCAAAAAUACCAAGUACAUCUAUGCUGUUGCCAUCUACACGGGAAUGGAAACCAAGAUGGCUCUCAACUACCAGUCCAAGUCCCAAAAACGAUCCGCCGUGGAAAAGUCCAUGAACUCCUACCUGGUGGUGUACCUGUGCAUCCUCAUCAGCAAAGCGCUCAUCAACACGGUGCUGAAGUACAUCUGGCAGGCUGACCCCAACAGAGACGAGCCCUGGUACAACGACAGGACGGAGACGGAGAGGCAAAGACACAUCCUGAUCAGGGCCUUCACCGACUUCCUGGCCUUCAUGGUCCUGUUCAACUACAUCAUUCCCGUCUCCAUGUACGUCACGGUGGAGAUGCAGAAGUUCCUGGGCUCCUACUUCAUCAUGUGGGACGACGACAUGCACGAGGAGGAGCUGGGCGAGAGGGCCGUGGUCAACACGUCUGACCUGAACGAGGAGCUGGGGCAGGUGGAGUACGUCUUUACGGACAAGACGGGGACUCUGACGGAGAACAACAUGGAGUUCAUAGAGUGCUGCGUGGACGGACAGAUCUACGACGCUGACAAUUUUUUUCAGUUCUUUGGGCUAAUUUGCUAUUUGGAGCGGAAGGAGCUGUUUUUCCGGGCCUUGUGUUUGUGCCACACGGUGCAGGUGAAGGAGGAGGAGACGGUGGACGGGAUCAAACAUGGCAUCCACCAGGGAAAGCCCUCCUCCUUCUACAUCUCCUCGUCGCCGGAUGAAGUCGCUCUAGUGGAGGGCAUGAAGAAGCUUGGUUAUACCUAUCUGAGGCUCAAAGACGGUCACAUGGAGAUCUUAAAUAAGGAGGACGAGAUUGAGAGGUUUGAACUUCUGGAGGUUUUGUCGUUCGACUCGGUCCGGAGGAGGAUGAGCGUCAUCGUCAGAGCCUGCUCCGGUGACAUCUACCUGUUCUGCAAGGGCGCCGACUCCUCCAUCCUCCCCAGAGUGGUCUCAGGAAAGGUGGCUGAGGUGAAAGCUCGAGUGGAACACAACGCCGUGGAUGGCCUGAGGACUCUGUGUGUGGCCUAUCGGCCGCUGGCAGCCAGCAGCAGAAAUACGGCACAUUUUAUUAGAAUAAAAAGUGAUUUAAAACGUGUUUUAUCUUGGUUUUUCAGGCUGCAGGACAAAGCGGCAGAUACCAUCGAGUCUCUCCACAAAGCGGGAAUGAAGGUGUGGGUUUUGACCGGAGACAAGAUGGAGACGGCGGCCGCCACCUGCUACGCCAGCAAGCUGUUCCGCCGCGGCACCCACAUCCUGGAGCUGACCACCAAACGGGUGGAGGAGCAGAACCUCCACGAUGUCCUGUUUGAACUGAGCAGGACGGUCCUCCGUUUGUCGACUGACUGCACCGACUACGGGCUGAUCAUCGAUGGAGCCACCCUCUCUGCAGUCAUGAGUUACAAAGAGAUCUUUCUGGAAAUCUGUCGUAACUGCAGCGCCGUGCUCUGCUGUCGAAUGGCGCCGCUGCAGAAAGCUCAGAUUGUGAAAAUGAUUAAAACUUCCAAAGAGCAUCCGAUCACGCUGGCCAUCGGAGACGGCGCCAAUGAUGUCAGCAUGAUCCUGGAGGCCCACGUCGGCAUCGGCAUCAUGGGUAAAGAGGGGCGUCAGGCUGUGAGGAACAGCGACUACGCCAUCCCCAAGUUUAAGCACCUGAAGAAGAUGCUGCUCGUCCACGGACAUUAUUACUACAUCCGCAUCUCGGAGCUGGUUCAGUACUUCUUCUACAAGAAUGUUUGCUUCAUCUUCCCACAGUUCCUCUACCAGUUCUUCUGCGGCUUCUCCCAGCAGCCGCUGUACGACACCGCCUACCUGACGCUCUACAACAUCAGCUUCACGUCGCUGCCCAUCCUGGUGUACAGCCUGAUGGAGCAGCACAUCAACAUGGACAUCCUGAAGAAGGACCCCUCCCUCUAUAAAGAUAUUGCCAAGAACUCGUUGCUGAGAUGGCCCACCUUCAUAUACUGGACCGUUCUGGGGGUCUACGACGCCAUCGUCAUGUUUUUCGGCGCCUACUUCCUGUUCGAUAACACCACCUUCACCAGCAACGGACAGAUGUUUGGGAACUGGACGUUUGGGACGCUGGUCUUCACCGUGCUGGUCUUCACCGUCACCUUCAAGCUGGUCCUGGACACGCAUUACUGGACGUGGAUCAACCACUUCGUCAUCUGGGGGUCGCUGGUGUUCUUCGUGCUCUUCUCUCUGCUGUGGGGUGGAAUCAUCUGGUAUUUAUCCGCUCUCCAGACGCGUUCCUGCGUUCACGCCCGGAGAUUUGACCAGAGAGACUUUUUCCCGCUCCUUCAGGCCGUUCCUCAACUACCAGAGGAUGUAUUACGUCUUCAUGCAGAUGCUGUCCAGCGGCCCGGCCUGGCUCAGCAUCAUCCUCCUCAUCACCGCCGGCCUGCUGCCAGACGUGGUGAAGAAGGUCAUCUGGAGGGCCAUCCCCUUACUGUUCUAUUUUCUCAUUUAACCUUCAAUUAA